rnacentral:rRNA from 1 species
GCAACCCGCUGGUACAGCGGCGAACGGGUGAGUAAUGCGUGGGUAACCUACCCUCGAGGGGGGAAUAACCCGCCGAAAGGCGGGCUAAUGCCGCGUACGCUCCCGGGGUUGCGGCUCCGGGAGGAAAGCUGCCCGAUGCGGGUGGCACUCGAGGCGGGGCUCACGUCCUAUCAGCUAGUUGGUAGGGUAACGGCCUACCAAGGCUGCGACGGGUAGCUGGUCUGAGAGGACGAUCAGCCACACUGGCACUGCGACACGGGCCAGACUCCUACGGGAGGCAGCAGUGAGGAAUAUUGCGCAAUGGGCGCAAGCCUGACGCAGCGACGCCGCGUGGGGGAUGAAGGGCUUCGGCUUGUAAACCCCUUUCGGGCGGGAAGACGGUCCUCGACAACGAGGACGGACGGUACCGCCAGAAGCAGCCACGGCUAACUUCGUGCCAGCAGCCGCGGUAAUACGAAGGUGGCAAGCGUUGUUCGGAUUUACUGGGCGUAAAGGGAGCGUAGGUGGUUGGGGUAAGCCCCGCGGGAAAGCUCCAGGCUUAACCUGNAAAGGUCGCGGGGGACUGCUGCGCUAGAGGACGGGAGAGGAGCGCGGAAUUCCCGGUGUAGCGGUGAAAUGCGUAGAGAUCGGGAGGAAGGCCGGUGGCGAAGGCGGCACUCUGGAACGGCCCUGACACUGAGGCUCGAAAGCGUGGGGAGCAAACAGGAUUAGAUACCCUGGUAGUCCACGCCCUAAACGAUGG